CAGUCGCCACGGGAAUACGGAGGGUGCAAGCGUUAAUCGGAAUUACUGGGCGUAAAGCGCACGCAGGCGGUCUGUCAAGUCGGAUGUGAAAUCCCCGGGCUCAACCUGGGAACUGCAUUCGAAACUGGCAGGCUAGAGUCUUGUAGAGGGGGGUAGAAUUCCAGGUGUAGCGGUGAAAUGCGUAGAGAUCUGGAGGAAUACCGGUGGCGAAGGCGGCCCCCUGGACAAAGACUGACGCUCAGGUGCGAAAGCGUGGGGAGCAAACAGGAUUAGAUACCCGGGUAGUCCCUGUCUCUUAUAC
rnacentral:rRNA from 1 species